CCUACGGGAGGCAGCAGUGGGGAAUAUUGGACAAUGGGCGAAAGCCUGAUCCAGCCAUGCCGCGUGUGUGAAGAAGGCCUUCGGGUUGUAAAGCACUUUCAGUGGGGAAGAAAGCCUUGGGGCUAAUACCCUCGAGGAAGGACAUCACCCACAGAAGAAGCACCGGCUAACUCCGUGCCAGCAGCCGCGGUAAUACGGAGGGUGCGAGCGUUAAUCGGAAUUACUGGGCGUAAAGCGCGCGUAGGCGGUCUGAUAAGCCGGUUGUGAAAGCCCCGGGCUCAACCUGGGAACGGCAUCCGGAACUGUCAGGCUAGAGGGCAGGAGAGGAAGGUAGAAUUCCCGGUGUAGCGGUGAAAUGCGUAGAGAUCGGGAGGAAUACCAGUGGCGAAGGCGGCCUUCUGGACUGACACUGACGCUGAGGUGCGAAAGCGUGGGUAGCAAACAGGAUUAGAUACCCCGGUAGUC
rnacentral:rRNA from 1 species